CAGCCGCCGCGGUAAUACCGGCGGCCCGAGUGGCGGUCACUAUUAUUUGGCUUAAAACGUCCGUAGCCGGGUUGGGAAGUCCUCCGGGAAAUCUGGCCGCUUAACGGUCAGAAUGCCGGAGGAUACUCCCAGCCUAGGGAGCGGGAGAGGCCGAGGGUAUUCCCGGAGUAGGGGUGAAAUCCUAUAAUCCCGGGAGGACCACCUGUGGCGAAGGCGCUCGGCUGGAACGCGUCCGACGGUGAGGGACGAAGGCCAGGGGAGCAAACCGGAUUAGAUACCCGGGUAGUCCUGGCUGUAAACGAUGCGGACUUUGUGUCGGACAAGCUAUGAGCUUGUCCGGUGCCGGAGGGAAACCGUUAAGUCCGCCGCCUGGGGAGUACGGCCGCAAGGCUGAAACUUAAAGGAAUUGGCGGG
rnacentral:rRNA from 1 species